GCCGCCGUAGCGUAACUGGCAGCGUGCGCCGCUUGUACCGGCGCGGUGCGGGUUCGACUCCCGCCGGCGGCUCCA
rnacentral:tRNA from 1 species